AUUGAAAGUAUAAUAUCACUCAAUACUCAACUUCUGUAUUUAUUAGUGCAUUUGAAUGAAGUCUGGAUUGCAUGGAUAUGGGCACAACUAAAUCUCUCAAACUAGAAUAGGAGUAUGAAUGGGAUGAUAUAUUAUAAGAAAUAUAGAAACAUAAACUUCUUUCUUAACGAUCUUGCUGUGAAAUUUACCUGGCUCUUCGUAAAUGGAUUUCAAGGUUUUAUGUGUGGCCUUAUCUAGAGACUUAUUCAGAGGUAAUUUGAAUUGUUCACUUGCCCAUGAAACAUUAUUAGGAUUUAAGCAAUUUCUUACCUUAAUUUAGAUUUGUAUCAUUUCCAUUUAAUAUUGAUGGCUGAGUAUGUCAACAGGACGUUGCCAGUGAAAUUGCUGCUGAGUUUACAAGGUUAUCCUGACUUCAUCACUGGAAAAUAGAGUGAUGGGAAUCUUGUUGCAUCUUUAUUGGCUUAUAAAAUGGGAGUUACAAUAGUUAUUGUCCCCCUUCUUUCUUAUCUUACUUUGCCUUUCGAAAGUCAAUUCACUACUGAUUUAAUAGCCAUGAAUAGCACUGAUUUUAUCAUCACCAGUACCUACCAAGAGAUUGCAGGAACAUAAGUAUAACAUACCUAGUAAUUUCUUGUCUUUGAAACCUCUCUAAGAGGCAUUUGGGCUAGUUACUAUUUUGCUUAAGCAUCUCUCUAGGCAUCUUUAUAUAUCUUUAUAUAGACAUCAUUCAUUUGUUACAUUAUUUUAUUGUUCAUCUGGUUAAAAGUUUCCUUUUUGCCUCUCUUACGGAUGUUAUUAUUAUGGGUUAUUGCUUCAAAUCUUGAAACUGGUUUUCCCAGAUGAACAUUGUAAAGUGGUAGAGGACCUAUUUUUUGGGAUCUAAUUGGCUAAAUUGUAGAUAGAUUCAGAAGUGGUUUACUAGUAGCAGAAUUUUGGAGAUUGGCCGGUUUAACUAGGAGUUUGUUCAAACUUUUUGUAAGUUUUCAUCUUGAGAAACAUUAUUUUGCUUGACAGGCUCUAUCGUAUUAUAAAUAUUAGGACGUGUGUGAUAGGGGCAAUUGUAGAGGAUCUACAAUUUUACCUAUAUAUAUAUAUAUAUAUAUAUCCUUCUGAUUGUCAAUUCUGCUAUAUUCAUAUAAUAGCUUGGAAUAUUUUGAAACACCAUUGUUAGUUUCUUUCAAAUAUUAUGAAAUCAAUUGCAUAGGUUGGCUGUGCUCAUAGUACUAUUUUUUAUUAUAACAUAUCACUUAAUAAUGAAGGCAUAUUAAAAUACUCCUUCCUUUCCGGAUAUUUUAAUUUUUUUUUUUCUUAUUGGAAUUUAAGAAGACAUCUUUGCACUCUUACAGGAUAUCAUGAUCAUGGUCGGACAGUUUUCUCAGUUCAUUGCUGCCUUUGUUAAUGCAAUUUCUAUCUAUAAUAAAUGUGUGGCUUUGAGAAUGCCAUUAUUUUUAUGUAUGUCUAAUCCUGAUAUUGAUGAUAUCAGAGUAAGUAACAUUAUUAUGCAAUAAGGGAACUAUUAUGUUAUGGCCAACCUCCUUUAAUGAGUUAAUCUUAAAUCUAAUACUGAUCUCAGAAUCCAAUUUAUGAUAUUUACUUUAAUAAAGAAUGCAUAGUGGAAUUUCUUAGUGGUUUGUAUAUGGUGAGUUGCUACUAUUUUCAUUUUGCAUCUAAUUUAAUCUUUGCAGCUCUGUUUGGUCAAUAUAACCAUAUGUAAAAUGAAAUCUUCAAUUUGUUCUCUGUCUUUUACACUCUGGCUCAUUCUCUCCAUUACUUGAAAAUAUAGUUGAGUAGAAAGCCAAGGACAAGGAAUGCACUUGCUAACUAAAAUGAGCUUCUUGUCUCAUUUGAGAUGCAAGAUAUCUUACUGCCUUCUGCUACAAGUGGUGUUAAAGACCUUCAUAUUUCUCCUUCUAAUAGUAGUAUGGCUCCCUUUUCUUCAUUGGGGAAGAAACUAUCAGUGCUCAGGAUCCUGCAUGGUCUUGUUCGUGGGAUCUGAACAAUUCGCAUAACAUAUAUGCUGGACUACAUUGGCUUCUCAUGUGGGACGACCUUGUCCUUGGCUUUCUACUCUUUCAGACGUGUACAUAGGAAGCCAACUCUUGCUUCACUUCCUUUCCACAAGGGCCACCGUAACCAACUUCUCCUCUCUUCAAUUCUUCUUCUCUUAAGGUAGAAGAUGCUCCAAUAUCUGUUUGCAUUUUCCAGUUAAUGGAAACAAUUUAUUCCAGUGCUACAAUAGAAUGCAUGCCAAACAUCUGAUGGUGAAAUAAUUUCAAAUAUUCCAGUGCUACAUGAACUAUGAUUUGUGAUAUCUUAGUUUGGUUAAUCUAAUAUUUCAUAGCUUAAUAUUUCAUGACUUGAAAAUAAUCUUA